UACGUAGGGUGCAAGCGUUAAUCGGAAUUACUGGGCGUAAAGCGUGCGCAGGCGGUGAUGUAAGACAGAUGUGGAAUCCCCGGGCUCAACCUGGGAACUGCAUUUGUGACUGCACAGCUGGAGUGCGGCAGAGGGGGAUGGAAUUCCGCGUGUAGCAGUGAAAUGCGUAGAUAUGCGGAGGAACACCGAUGGCGAAGGCAAUCCCCUGGGCCUGCACUGACGCUCAUGCACGAAAGCGUGGGGAGCAAACAGG
rnacentral:rRNA from 1 species